UGUAAGAAUAAAUGGUCGAACAGACCAAAUCUUUNAACUUCUACACCUAAAGAUUAUCUUAAUCCAACAUCGAGGUCGCAAUCUUUUUUAUCGAUAUGUUCUCUCUAAAAAUAUUACGCUGUUAUCCCUUAAGUAACUUAAUCUUUUAACCACAAAUUAUGGAUCAACUCAUAUAUUAAUGAAAAAAAGUUAAAUAAAUUUUCCUAUCACCCCAAUAAAAUAUUAUAUAAAGCUUUAAAGGGUCUUCUCGUCCUUCAAAUAUAUUUAAGCUUUUUAACUUAAAAAUUAAUUUCUAUAACAUUUAAAAUAAGACAGUUUAUAUCUCAUUCAAUCCUUCAUUCCAGCUUCUAAUUAAGAAACUAUUGAUUAUGCUACCUUUGCACAGUCAAAAUACUGCGGCCUUUUUCAAUGGGCAGAUUAGACUUUAAAUU
rnacentral:rRNA from 1 species